rnacentral:rRNA from 1 species
UACGAAGGGGGCUAGCGUUGCUCGGAAUCACUGGGCGUAAAGCGCACGUAGGCGGCUUUCUAAGUCAGGGGUGAAAUCCUGGAGCUCAACUCCAGAACUGCCUUUGAUACUGGAGAGCUUGAGUCCGGAAGAGGUGAGUGGAACUCCGAGUGUAGAGGUGAAAUUCGUAGAUAUUCGGAAGAACACCAGUGGCGAAGGCGGCUCACUGGUCCGGUACUGACGCUGAGGUGCGAAAGCCAGGGGAGCAAACGGG